rnacentral:lncRNA from 1 species
CGCAAUGGUUUGAGCGAUUGACCAAUCAGCAUUAGCAAUUUACUGUUUGAAUUUUACAGAACGCUACAGGUCUUCAGUUUGAAAUCUCUUUGCGACGUAGCAGAAUUAUUAUUGCUGUUUUGUAAAUGUCAAGAAAAUACAGUGUGUAAUUUCUUUAUUAACAUUUUAUAUAUAACUGAGAGAAUAAGUACUUAAAAAGUUGUGUGAAAUUCUUGGUGAAUGUAGUGAAAAUUGUGAAUCCAAGACAGGACGCCAUGCAAUGAUUGAAUUUUACAAAUAUUAAGGGAAAUGAAGAGCUUGCACUAAUAAACAUCUGAGUCAUGAAAGGAAAACGCAGCACAUACGGGAAACAUUUGGAAACGAUCCCACUACCGAUUACAUUUUCCGACUAGCAUCAAAUUUUAUGACUUCGAUUUUAUGAAUGGACCUUGGUUUAUUAUUAAAAGAUAUUUCAUCAUCUAUGAUAGAGCAAAUGUUAAGUUUGCAGUAAAUACCAACGCAAAGCAUCACGUAUGGACAACGUAAAUAACAAAGCGAAAGGAAAUAAAAGGAACGGCUGAUUUCCGCAGGGCAUAUCUGUGACAUUAUUAACUUUAGCUGUAACGAGAUAAGGAAUAUCAGAGAAAACGUAUAUAACUUUUUCUUUUGAGCCUUACCAACUUUAACGAUUUUUAAUCCAUACGAACUAUGACGUAGUGGGACGUAUUCCGAUUCAAAGUUAAAGACAAGAAUAGAAUAUCUUACAUUUUCUUUUUCUAUUACGAGUAAUCUCAUACGAGAUGAAAAGAGUCAUGGAAACGAUACGCAUAUUUGAUAAUACAUCAAAGUAAAAAAUAUUUUACAACAAGUGGGAGAGAAACAGAAACAGAAAGAAUAUUUAUAGAAACGAUAUUCUAUAUGUGCAAUAACUACUAUAGCAUAUAUGGGACAAUUGAAAA